UCCAUAUUAUGGAUUUUGUUAAUUGCAUCUCUGAGGUGGUGGUUAAUUUUAUGUGUCAACCUGGCUGGACCACUGGGUACUCCGAUAUUUGGUCAAACAUUAUUCUGAGUAUUUCUGCAAGGGUGUUUUUGGAUGAGAUGAACAUUUUAAUUGGUGAAGAUUACCCUUCAUAAUGUGGAUGGGCCUCAUUCAAUCAGCUGGAGCCUGAAGAGAAUGAAGAGACGGCCUCUCCCUUACAUGAGAGGGAAUUCUCCAGCAGCCCGCUCUGGGACUUCAUCUAUACCACUGGCUUUCCUGGGUUUCAAACCUGCCAGCCCACACUGCACAUUUGGACUUGCCAAUCUCUGCAACUGUGUGAGCCAAUUCCUUAUGAUAAACCUCUUUCUAUACACACACAUAUUCUUUUUUUUUUUUUUUUUUUUGAGAUGGAGUUUCACUCUUGUUGCCCAAGCUGGAAUGCAGUGGCACCAUCUCGGCUCACUGCAACCUCUGCCUCCCGGGUUCAAGUGAUUCUCCUGCCUCAGCCUCCCAAGUAGCUGGGAUAACAGACACCUGCCACCAUGCCUGACUAAUUUUUUGUAUUUAGUAGAGACGAGGUUUCACCAUGUUAGUCAGGCUGGCCUCCAACUUCUGACAUCAGGUGAUCCACCCACCUCCGCCUCCCAAAGUGCUGGGAUUACAGGUGUAAGCCACCUCGCCCUCCUUACACAAACAUAUUCCAUUAGUUCUGUUUUGUAAUUCUGACUAAUACAGUAACCAUUCUCUUAUUCCCUUCAGGCUAGGGAUAGGAUUGGCUGUAUAGGAUUACUGUAUUUUCCCUUGCGGUUCUCUAACACUCUGUCCACACCUUUGUAAGUAGUCUCUUUAUUAAACCUUCCACUAAUUUUUCUAAUUUGAAUGAGCCAUCUGUUUCCUGUCAGGUUCCUGGCUAAUAGAGACCAUUAUGACGAGUACAUAUCCUUAAAGUCUAAAGUUAAUCACAUAUGCUAAUUACCUCAAUUUAGCCAUUCCACAAUGUAUAUAUAUUUCAAAACAACAUGUACUUGAUAAAUAUAUACUAAUUUUAUUUGUCAAUGUAAUUUUUUUGUUUGUUUGUUUGUUUUUUGAGACGAAGUCUCUGUCGCCAGGCUGGAGUACAGUGGCGCGAUCCCGGCUCAUUGCAACCUCCGACUCCCUGGUUCAAGUGCUUCUCCUGCCUCAGCCUCCCGAGUAGCUGGGAUUGCAAGCAUGUGCCACCACGCCCAGCUAAGUUUUGUAUUUUUAGUAGAGCCGGGGUUUCACCAUGUUGGCCAGGAUGGUCUCGAUCUCUUGACCUCGUGAUCUGCCUGCCUCAGCCUCCCAAAGUGCUGGGAUUACAGGCGUGAGCCACCACGCCCAGCCUUGUCAAUAUAAAAAUUUUUAAAAAUCAUUUAUUUAAAAAAAAAAGGCCAGGAACAGUGGCUUAAGCCUGUAAUCCCAGCACUUUGGGAGGCCAAAGUGGGUGGAUAGUUUGAGUCCAGGAGUUUAAGACCUGGGUAACAUGGCGAAACCCUGUCUCUACCAAAAAUAAAAAAAUUAGCUGAGCAUGGUGGCUCGCACUUGUAGUCACAGCUUUUAGGGAGGCUGAGGUGGGAGAUGUUAGUGAGGAUGUGGAGAAUUUGGAAUUUUGUUUUUAAAAUUUUUAUUUAUUUAUUUAUUUAUUAUUUUUUGAGACAGGUUCUCACUCUGUUGCCCGGGCUGGAGUGCAGUGCCGCAAUCAAAGCUCACUGAAGCCUCGACUUCUGGGGCUCAAGUGAUACUCCUACCUCAGCCUCCCAAGUAGCUGGGACCACAGGCGCAUGCCACCACGCCUGGCUAAUUUUUUAUUUUUUGUAGAGACAGGGUUUUGCCACGUUGCCCAGGCUGGUCUCGAACUACUGCGCUCAAAUGAUCUGCCCGCCUCAGCCUCCCAAAGUGCUGGAUUACAGGCGUGAGCCACCGCGCCCAGCCCUGGAAUUUUCAUCCAUUGCUAGCGGGGAUAUAAAACGGGGUAGCUGGUUUGGAAAACACUUUAUUGGCUUAUCAAAAAUUAAACAUUGCCCAGCCUGGCCAACAUGGCGAAACCCCGUCUCUACUAAAAAUACAAAAAAUUAGCCAGGCAUGGUGGCGCACGCCUGUAAUUGCAGCUACUCGGGAGGCUGAGGCAGAAGAAUUGCUUGAAUCUGGGGGGUGGAGGUUGCAGUGAGCCAAGGUCACGCCACUGCACUUCAGCCUAUAAAUAAAUUAAUUAAAAUUAAAGAUUAAGUUACCAUGUGACCCAGCAAUUCCACUCACCCAAGAGAAAACUAAAAUGAAUUACGUCUACACAAAAGUUUGUACGUCAGUUUGUAACAGCAUUAUUCAUAAUAGCUAAAAGUGGAAACAAUCCUAGCAUUCAUCAACUUACAAAUGAUUAAAAUGUGGAAUAUUCAUACAAUGGCAUAUUACUUGACCACUAAAUGGAAUGACCUACUGAUAAAUGCUGCAACGUGGAUAAACCUUUAAAAAUAUAUGCUAAGUGGAAGAAGCCAGACAUAAAAGGCCACAUACUGUGUGAUUCCUUUUAUAUAAAAUAUCUAGAAUAGAUUAAUCUAUGGAGACAGGAAGUAAAUUAGUGGUUGGCAGGGACCAGGGGCAGGGAAAAUGGGGAGUUACUCUUCAUGGGUAUGGAUUUUUUUGAUGGGUGAUUAAUAUGUUCUGGAAUUAGAUAGUGAUGAUAGUUACACAAUAUUGGGAAUAUACUAAAAACCACUGAAUUGUACUUUAAUAGUGUGAAUUUUAUGGUGUAUGAAUUAUAUCUCAAUUUUUUAAAAAGACCAUAAAAUAAAAAAGAAAACAUAUAUACCCCACACACCCCUCUCCUACCCCUCCCCACCAACCCAUGAAGCAGCAAGUUUGCAAGCCCAGUGUGGUAUAAAUCCAGCCUUGAAAAAUAAAGUUAGCAAAGAAAACAUUCUGCAUGCAGAGAGGUAAGCUAUUCUGUUUAUUGUAUUUUUUACAAACUCCCUU
rnacentral:lncRNA from 10 species